rnacentral:rRNA from 1 species
UACGUAGGGUGCAAGCGUUGUCCGGAAUUACUGGGCGUAAAGGGCUCGUAGGUGGCCAACUAAGUCAGACGUGAAAUCCCCAGGCUCAACUUGGGAACUGCGUCUGAUACUGGAUGGCUUGAAUUCGGGAGAGGGAUGCAGAAUUCCAGGUGUAGCGGUGAAAUGCGUAGAUAUCUGGAGGAACACCGGUGGCGAAGGCGGCAUCCUGGACCGGUAUUGACGCUGAGGCGCGAAAGCCAGGGGAGCAAACGGG